GACGAACGCUGGCGGCGUGCUUAACACAUGCAAGUCGAACGGAAAGGCCCCUUUGGGGGUCCUCGAGUGUCGAACGGGUGAGUAACACGUGAGUAACCUGCCCUUGUCUUCGGGAGAACUUCAGGAAACUGGGGCUAUUACCGGAAAGGAAUCCUUGCUGCAUGGUGGGGGUUGGAAAGCUUCGGCGGUUUUGGCUGGACUGGCGGCGUAUCGGCUUGUUGGUGGGGUAGUGGCUUACCAAGGCGUUGACGGGUAGCCGGCCUGUGAGGGCGACCGGCGACAUUGAGACCGAGGGACGGCACAGGUGCCGACUGGUGGCAGAUGGGGGGAAGCUUGCACCAGGGGCGGCGGGUGGGUGCAGCAAGGCCUCGGGUGGGAUGACGGUCUUCGGGUUGUAGACCGGUUUCAGCAGGGGCGAAGCUUGUGGUGACGGUACCUGCAGAAGAAGCACCGGCUAACUACGUG
rnacentral:rRNA from 1 species